rfam:Acanthamoeba castellanii str. Neff unplaced genomic scaffold scf7180000084576, whole genome shotgun sequence.
UCCGCUGUGGUGUAGUCGGUAACAUUUAUGGUUCUCACCCAUGCGCCCCGGGUUCGAUUCCCGGCAGCGGAA